GACGGGGGGUCCAAGCGUUGUUCGGAAUUAUUGGGCGUAAAGCGCACGUAGGCGGCCAACUAAGUCAGACGUGAAAUCCCUCGGCUUAACCGGGGAACUGCGUCUGAUACUGGAUGGCUUGAGUUUGGGAGAGGGAUGCGGAAUUCCAGGUGUAGCGGUGAAAUGCGUAGAUAUCUGGAGGAACACCGGUGGCGAAGGCGGCAUCCUGGACCGGUAUUGACGCUGAGGCGCGAAAGCCAGGGGAGCAAACGGG
rnacentral:rRNA from 1 species